UGAGGCUGAGCAUGACUUACCCAGACACAGAGGGGCUGAAUGGCUACAGAGACUCUAAGCAUGAAGUCUUCCUACAACAUGCUUGAGUGGAAGUGAAUCAUCAUUUCUAAGAAAUGAGGACUGCAAUGAUUCACCAGAAAGCUUAUCGGAUACCGUGGUAUGAACGCCUAAGAAGAUCUGGUUUUUACAGUCUGGCUUCUCCCACCCACUAAGUGAUCCUGGCCCCAGUGCUCAUCUCUGAGCCCCUAUACAUAUAUACAUAGUGUGUACUCUGCAUUUUAACCAUGGUACUGCUUCACCAGAAAGGUGACAUUUAAUACAUGCCGAGGUCUUAGAAUGCCUCCCCACUUGGUAAACCAUCCCCAAACGGUGCACAUUUACCUGGAAAGCCAGGUUUGGACAUAUUCAGGGAAACCUACCCCCGAUUAAAGACUAGUUGCCAGGC